rnacentral:rRNA from 1 species
UACGUAGGGGCGAGCGUUGUCCGGAAUGACUGGGCGUAAAGGGCGCGUAGGCGGCCGUACAAGUCUUGCGUGAAAGUCCCGCUUUCAAGGUGGGAAUUGCGAGGGAAACUGUAUGGCUUGAGUGCGGAAGAGGUAAGUGGAAUUCCCGGUGUAGCGGUGAAAUGCGUAGAUAUUAGGAGGAACACCAGUGGCGAAGGCGACUUACUGGACUGUAACUGACGCUGAGUCACGAAAGCGUGGGUAGCAAACAGGAUUAGAUACCCCGGUAGUCCCUGAGCGGGCU